ACCAUGUAAUCACUCUCUAAACAGCACCUUUGUGGCACUCAUUUGGGAUUUUCUCCAUGUUUGGCUUUGAAGACUAAGCAGCAGUGAUUAAAUAUACGGAUUGCUUCUUAGCUGCAGUUUUCCUCCCAUAAUGCUGUAAUUGAAUGAAGCUUGGAAAUGCAGAGAGAGAAGAACAAGAAUUAUAUAAAUAACUAAAGAAAUGAGGAGAGAAAAGGGAAAGAACCCUUUAAAGAAUCCAAAAGGAAAAGGAAUCUAUGUGCAGUCUGAUUUUUAAGCACUAUUAACAAGAGCAGGCUUUUGAGGAUCUGAAUUUAAGCUGUGGAUGCUGCCUCAAAGUAAAGAAGAGAAAAGCAGAAAGACCCACGUUCCCAUGUAUGCACCUCCCAUAAGCCUCCACAAUCCACUGUGCCACAGUUCAACAGCGCAUAUUCAUUCCACAAUUCCUGCUACUAAGAUAUUGUUUAUGCAUCCUUCUCAUGGUUUGUCAAUGUCAGUUUUAUGCAAUGUAUGUCUAUGAUUCUAAAGAAAAGCAUUGCUUAGUUCAGACUUAUUUUCCCAGAAGAAUGUUCCAAUAAAUUCUGAAAAAGA